GACGAACGCUGGCGGCGUGCUUAACACAUGCAAGUCGAACGGAAAGGCCCUGCUUUUGUGGGGUGCUCGAGUGGCGAACGGGUGAGUAACACGUGAGUAACCUGCCCUUGACUUUGGGAUAACUUCAGGAAACUGGUGCUAAUACCGGAUAGGAGCUCCUGCUGCAUGGUGGGGGUUGGAAAGUUUCGGCGGUUGGGGAUGGACUCGCGGCUUAUCAGCUUGUUGGUGGGGUAGUGGCUUACCAAGGCUUUGACGGGUAGCCGGCCUGAGAGGGUGACCGGCCACAUUGGGACUGAGAUACGGCCCAGACUCCUACGGGAGGCAGCAGUAGGGAAUAUUGCACAAUGGGCGGAAGCCUGAUGCAGCAACGCCGCGUGCGGGAUGACGGCCUUCGGGUUGUAAACCGCUUUCGCCUGUGACGAAGCGUGAGUGACGGUAAUGGGUAAAGAAGCACCGGCUAACUACGU
rnacentral:rRNA from 1 species